GAUUCUGGAAUUAUAUGUGGCGAGACUUACGUCUCGUCCACAUAAGUUCCAAAAUCUUCUUCUCUUCUCGAUUUUAGGGAUUUAAACGUAGUACUCGUUAAUUCCUCGUAACAUAGCGUGGAACUUACGACGAAAAGUAAAAUAAAUAACGCGGGGCACGCUAGUUCCACGUAAGCCAAAAUCGUCGUAAGGUUGUCGUAAGGCCACGAGGAGUUUAC
rnacentral:lncRNA from 1 species